rnacentral:rRNA from 1 species
AAAUUGAAGAGUUUGAUCAUGGCUCAGAUUGAACGCUGGCGGCAGGCCUAACACAUGCAAGUCGAACGGUAACAGGAAGCAGCUUGCUGCUUUGCUGACGAGUGGCGGACGGGUGAGUAAUGUCUGGGAAACUGCCUGAUGGAGGGGGAUAACUACUGGAAACGGUGGCUAAUACCGCAUAACGUCGCAAGACCAAAGAGGGGGACCUUAGGGCCUCUUGCCAUCAGAUGUGCCCAGAUGGGAUUAGCU